UGGGGAAUAUUGCACAAUGGGCGCAAGCCUGAUGCAGCCAUGCCGCGUGUGUGAAGAAGGCCUUCGGGUUGUAAAGCACUUUCAGCGAGGAGGAAGGUGGUGAACUUAAUACGUUCAUCAAUUGACGUUACUCGCAGAAGAAGCACCGGCUAACUCCGUGCCAGCAGCCGCGGUAAUACGGAGGGUGCAAGCGUUAAUCGGAAUUACUGGGCGUAAAGCGCACGCAGGCGGUUUGUUAAGUCAGAUGUGAAAUCCCCGGGCUCAACCUGGGAACUGCAUUUGAAACUGGCAAGCUAGGAGUCUCGUAGAGGGGGGUAGAAUUCCAGGUGUAGCGGUGAAAUGCGUAGAGAUCUGGAGGAAUACCGGUGGCGAAGGCGGCCCCCUGGACGAAGACUGACGCUCA
rnacentral:rRNA from 1 species